GUUGGUGUUGGUGUCGGAGCCGGGCGGGUCGAACGCCCAGGGCACUGCGCCCCGCAGCUGCCGCUCCUGCAAGGAAAAGCUCUGGGUGCGUAUGCGGCUUGUCACCUCCUGGGUGCGCAGCGUGAGCCCGAAAAUGUCUUCGUGGUAGCGUUGCUGAUCCUGUCGUAAAAGAGCGCAGUGGAUCAGAACCCGACUCGGAUACCUCAGCAGGAACCCCGCACGCCCGGGGCCUGGCCCCCGCCUCAGGCCCGCCCCGCCCCCGGCCCGCCCCUCCGCACCCGCAGCACGCCGAUGACGUCGCCGGCCUCGUCCAGCUCCAUGUCGCCCUCCGUCGCCAGGAUGCGCUGCACGGUCUGCAGGACGUUGGUUGCCAUGGUGACAUCGCCGCAGACAAACAUGUGGCCCCGCUCGAGGCACAGCACGCGGUGCACCUCCGCCGCCAGCUCCGUCCUCAGGAUGUCCUGCACGUUCCCGGGAGAAGGCAGUGAGGACUCGGCCAAACACCCCGCGCUGCUGGGCGUUCUGCACCUCGUCGCGGUAGAGAUGGUCGAGUUGGGAGCAUCGGCAGCCAAACACCAAAGUCAUGGGAGUGGGCUGCAGCCCUGCAAGCAACCCCGCGCUUGGGAAGGCCCUUCUCCGAGGCACAGUGCUAGUGGGACCUCCCCACUAGCCACCCUCGCCCAGCCUGGCAACCCAGCGUUUUGGGCUGAAGCCAUUACUUUCAUCUACAAGAGGGUGCAGAAUGCUUUCACAGAGACCCUGCACAGCCCUGAUUUACAGAAGGAAGGGAAGCGCGGGUGAGGUGGUGGCCCCUGGUGGAGCUGCGCUAGAAUGUGCGACUUGGGACUCAGAAUUCCAUACCCUUUGCACUGUGUGACAUCGCAGUCCCCUUCCCUGCUCCCACUUCAUAUUCUCCCACACUUUUAACUCUCCUCCCAGUCACAGCCCUCUUCUUUUGAUUGACAGACUACCCUGGGCACCCCAUGCUCAAUCUGAACACCUUGUAGCAUCCUUAGGUCUUGGACAGACCUUGGUCAGCUCUGGCACAGUCAGGAAUCCACCUUGGGCAGUUCUUCUUUGAGUCUUAGCCCUAAUCCCUUUGAAAAUUCUAUUUUCCUUUGUCCUUAAUCCAGUCAACACCUACUAUGUGCCAGGCACCAGGAAGCCAGACACACAGGGCCCGGCCCUUGCCUUCGGUACCUGCCCUCCCCUUGGUCUCAGGAGCGUCUUUUCAGCUUUGUGGCCUCUGUUUCCUACUCUCUCUUUCCUAUUUGCUGCCUUCCAGCCCCACCGCUCUGUCCCUAGAUUUUGUGACUCCUUCCAGUCAGUCCUUUAGUCGCCAGCCUCACCUUUGCUCUCAAUAUCAUGCAGCCGCUCCUGCCAGAAUCCCCGGAAGGGGGCAAUGCCAGUGCCUGGGCCCACCAGGAUGCAGGGCAAGCUGGGAUCGGGUGGCAGCCGGAAGGAGGGAGCCCUGGCGGGAGAGACACUCCAUCAGGUCCCCUUUGCCAUCCCUGCUCCCCCAUUCUCACCAUGCAGGGUGGGUGGGGCGAGGAGGAACCAGGCUCUCC